rnacentral:rRNA from 1 species
GAGGUAGUGACAAGAAAUAACAAUACAGGACUUUUUUAGUUUUGUAAUUGGAAUGAGUUAAGUAUAAACCCCUUUACAAGUAUCAAUUGGAGGGCAAGUCUGGUGCCAGCAGCCGCGGUAAUUCCAGCUCCAAUAGCGUAUAUUAAAGUUGUUGCAGUUAAAAAGCUCGUAGUUGGAUUUCUGUUAAUAAUUUAUAUAUAAUAUUUUUAAUAUUUAUAUAAUAUUAACAUAAUUCAUAUUACUAUAAUUUUUAUUAGUAUAUGAAAUUUUACUUUGAGAAAAUUAGAGUGCUUAAAGCAGG